AUACGUAGGUGGCAAGCGUUGUCCGGAAUUAUUGGGCGUAAAGCGCAUGUAGGCGGUUUGGUAAGUCGGUCGUGAAAAUGCGGUGCUUAACGCCGUAUGGCGAUUGAAACUGCUGAACUUGAGUGCAGGAGAGGAAAGGGGAACUCCCAGGGUAGCGGUGAAAUGCGUGGAUAUUGGGAAGAACAACGGGGGCGAAGGCGCCUUUCUGGACUGUUUCUGACGCUCAGAUGCGAAAUCCAGGGUGGCGAACGGGAUUAGAUACCCCGGAAGUCCUGGCCGUAACCGAUGGGUUCUAGGUGUGUGAGGUAUCGACUCCUUCCGUGCCGGAGUUAACGCAAUAAGUGCCCCGCCUGGGGAGUACGGCCGCAAGGCUUAAACUCAAAGGAAUUGACGGGG
rnacentral:rRNA from 1 species